rnacentral:lncRNA from 1 species
CUCAUCAUGAACAAAACCAAGGCAGACAACACUGUCAUUAAUGGAGCUUAUCAUGUAAUACGGAAGCCUGGGAUAAGCAACAAAUUACACAAGUGACAAAUGUGAUGAGUGCUGUGAAGCAGAGUGCGGGGUGCCCAGGGAAUCAGCAGAGCCCUGGAGGAUAACAGCCUGAGCUCCAGGAAGGAAGGUUGUGGUGGUGCUUAGGGUCAGAGUGGGGACAAGCAUUCCAAGCAAAGGGAAAAGCACAUACACAUGCUAUAUUAGUCAGGUUUCUCUAGAGGGACAGAACUAACAGGAUAGAUGUAUAAAUGAGGGGGAGCUUAUUAAGUAGUAUUGACUUGCAUGAGCACAAGGUGAAGUCCCACAAUAGGCUGUCUGCAAGCCGAAGAGCAGGGAAGCCAGUCCGAGUCCCCAAACCUCAAAAGUAGGGAAGCUGACAGUGCAGCCUUCUGAAGGCCCCAGAGCCCCCGGCAAACUGCUGGUGUAAAUCCAAGAGUCCAAAAGCUGAAGAACUUGGAGUCUGUUGUUCGAGGGCAGGAAGUAUCCAGCACGAGAGAAUGAUGAAGGCUGGAAGACUCAGCAAGUCUACUCCUUCCAUGUUCCUCUGUGUGCUUUUAUUCUGGCUGUGCUGGCAGCUGAUUAGAUGGUGCCCGCCCAGAUUGAGGGUGGGUCUGCCUCUCCCAGUCCACUGACUCAAAAGUUAAUAUCUUUGGCAACACCCUCACAGACACAUCCAGGAACAAUAGUUUGCAUCCUUCAAUCUAAUCAAGUUGACACCUAAUAUUAACCAUCAUACAUCCCCUCCAUGGGAAGGAGCAUGAUGCCUUAUAUAGUCUACUACCCUCAAACCAAUCCUACUCCCUCAUCCCCAACACCUUCUUCCCCUGGAACUCUAGAUAGAGUUUCUUGACUAGACACAUAAGCACAAUUAGGCUAUGCCUAAUUAUGAAGCCAUCCCGGUUUAUACAUUUUCUUGUUAUACUUGCCUAUUUACAAGUUUUUCUUGUGAAAACUUGCCUAUUCUUUUUGCUGCCUCCUCUCCACCCUAAAAGAGAAACUCUAAGGAAACACUCCCAGAGUUUAUUAUAGUUAUUAUGACUCAGAUUUGAAGACUAGAAUUUAAUGGAGGUUUUCCUAACAUUCCUUGGGGACUUGAAGGACUUUUUUUCCCACCAGCCACAGAAGUAAGAUUAUAAAACAUUUAUUUAUUAAAAGAAAAGAAAUCUUCUGGGCUCAAAGUUCUAGUUAUUCUAAAAGCAGAGCACUUGUUCCAUGUUUUCAUAUCGCCUCCCCACACCUACCUCUCCUCUCCCAUUCUCUAUUUCUUUAUUUCUGUGCUGUAGUAAUAAGCAAAACAGAGAAGCAAUUGGUUUUAGUCUUGGAUCUUGACCUUGCUGUGUGGCCUUGGCCAAGUCACUUCCCCUUUCUCAGCCUCAGUUUCUUCAAGUGUAAAAUGAGAGAUUGGAUGGAUCAGAAGAUUCAGGCCUCCUUGAAAAUCCCCAUGGGUGAACCCCAACACACAGGCUAUUCAGCCAGCAGCCCCAAGUCCUUUAUGAAAAGCCAAGGUUGAUUGAAACUCUCCCUUCUCAGGAGAGAAACUAGAGGCAAAGCUUCCUCAUCAGCAGAGAUAAACUUGGCAGGAGCCAAUUCAGGUAGGACCAUGGCCAACUCAGGGCUCGUGCUUGAUCGAAGGGGAUCUGUGUUAGUCAGCAUUCUCCAGAGAAAUGGAACCCAUUGGAUAGAUAUGUAAAGAGAUUUAUUAUGGGAGUUGGCUCAUGCAAUUGUGGAGUCCUAGAAGACCCACCACCUCCUGUCUGCAAGCUGGAGAAACAGCAAAGCCAGUGACGUAAUUAAGUCUGAAUCCAAAGGCAUAAGAUCAAGGAGAACUGAUGGUGUAAGUCCCAAAGUCCAAAGGCUUGAGAACCAGGAGCUCUGAUAUCUAAGGGAAGAUGUCCCAGCUCCGGAAGACAGAAUUCACCCUUCCUCUGCCUUUUGUUUUAUUUGAGCCCUCAAUGGGCUGGAUGAUGCCUAUUCACAUUGGUGAGGGUGGAUCUUCUUUACUCAGUCUACUGAUUAACACCUGUUCCAGAAACGCCCUCACAGGCACACCCAGAGAUAUUGUUUUCCCAGCUAUCUGGGCACCCCUUAGCCCAGUCAAAUCAACACAUAAAAUUAAUCAUCAUAGGCUCUAAGUUCUACUUAGCUCCAACCAGUUGGAGUCAUUUUGGAAUAAGUGUAAAGUGUUUUCAGAUAUUCUGAUCUUACAAGUGAAGCUGGAAAUUAGCAUUUUUAAGUAAAGAUGACUCAAUUAAGAAAAAACAAAAACAAAAACCAUGGCACGAGCAGAAGACGGUGCAUCAGAUUCAGGCCUGUGGUUGCUGGUUGGUUACCUGUGGGUGUAAGCAAAGUACUGGGUCCUUUCCCAUUCUAGACUAUAUUUACAAAAUCAGUAAUGCUUAGCUAUGCAUUCUUUCAUUUAACAAUUAUUUGUCAACUACCAUGAGCUGGUAUUAUGUAGAAUGCUGGUAAAAUAGAUAACUAAGACCCAACACAUGUGUAAAUGAGAAUGAGUGUGAUAUAAUCAAUGUCUCCUGGGCUAGGUGUCUCUUUUUUGCUUCCACAGCACCUGUGUAUACUUCCAUUAUGGCAUGUAACAUGCUGGCAAGAAAUUGAUUCAUUGGGUUGUGUCUUCUCAGCUGCCUGAAGAAUGAAAUCAUAUACUCUAGUUUCAUAUGCCCAGCAUUGUACACAACUUGACACAUCACAGCAGCUCUAGGAAAGCACAUAGGCUGACAACUGAGUGAACAACCCACUGACUGUGUGUCGUUCAGGGUUGGGAAAGCAAGGGCAGGUCUCUGUGCCCCAUCUCUAGCUUUUCCUCAACUUAGGCUUUAUAAACCCUUGCAUCAAAAAAUAAAAGCUAAGGCUAAUUGUUUCAA